UACGAACCGUACAAACGUUGUUCGGAUUUAUUGGGCGUAAAGAGCUCGUAGGCGGCCGAUCGCGUCGGAUGUGAAAGCUCGGGGCUUAACCCUGAGACGCCAUUCGAUACGGAUCGGCUAGAGGUAGGUAGGGGAAAGUGGAAUUCCUGGUGUAGCGGUGAAAUGCGCAGAUAUCAGGAGGAACACCGGUGGCGAAGGCGGCUUUCUGGGCCUUACCUGACGCUGAGGAGCGAAAGCUGGGGGAGCAAACAGG
rnacentral:misc_RNA from 1 species